UCUUGCUCUUUCAUUUUGCUCUCAAUCACUCUGUGAUUUUCUCCCUAUGAAAUUCUUCUCUCAAAGCGAAAAUCUCCCUACACCAAAAUUAAAAAUAGAAAUAGAAGUCCACUCCUCUAUGUUGAUUCUCACUUUAAGAAUAAUUUGGAAGAUCUCAUGGUGGUGUUCUUUAUUGGAGCAUUGGCUGUUGUCUUCAAAUUGUUAUGAAUGGGAAUUCAAGAGGAGAUUGACUUGUGGUGGUAUUGUUAGAGAGUAUACACAAAAAGGGUUCUUCAAGGAGGAUAGUAGGGAAGACUUUGAGGUGGUUCAUGGUGAUAUCUGGUGAAGACUGCUGCUGUAUGUUCGGAUUCUUGGAGAGUUCAUCUAAGGAAACUCGAUCUCCCCGAAUUCCUGCGGGAAUCCCCACCCUGAUCCCCGUGGAGAAUUUUACGGAGAUGGAGAAUGAAAUGGAGAGCGGGAAUGGAGACAAAAAAUGACAUCCUCUGGCCCCACCCCAUCUCGUGGACAUCUCUAUAUACAAGAUACAAAUCAAAGAUCAUUAAAUCACAAACCAAACUUCAUAUGAUUUAUAAAUUAAGAAGUGAAAUCCUGAUAGACCAUGAUAGAUUGAUAUCAUAAUUUGAUUAGCAGAUUGUACAGAUAAUUCUAUCAGAAUCUAUCAAUGACU